AGGAAUAAACUGUGCCUGAGAGACUAAGUGUGGGCACUCCCAUCCUGGAGAUCUCUCACACUCACCCGGAGGGGUAGAGAGAGGAGCCAUGCAGCACAACUGCGUUCCCAAUGGACUGUGCCAUCCCUCCUUCCUCAAAAGCCCCAGCAAGAGGUCCAGUGAUUUCAGUGGAGAUACUGCUGACUUACGCCAGCAUCCAGGCACCUACUGACAGAGAACAAAGUGACCACCAAAAGCGGGACUUUGUGGGCCAGUUGGAUAAAACAUAAGCUCAUCUCGCCCCCAAAACCCCGACUCUGGAACCACAACCUUCCGAGAUUCAAUUUGGAGAUUGGGCAGUGUUGUCACGGAUUUCAUACUAGAAAUUUCAAGUUCAAAAAUGAGCCGGAAGACAACAGUGGUGCAGAAUAUGAGAAGAAGAUUUGUCAGGAAGA